rnacentral:rRNA from 1 species
UGGGGAAUAUUGCACAAUGGGCGCAAGCCUGAUGCAGCGACGCCGCGUGGGGGAUGACGGCCUUCGGGUUGUAAACCUCUUUCAGCUACGACGAAGCGUAAGUGACGGUAGUAGCAGAAGAAGCACCGGCCAACUACGUGCCAGCAGCCGCGGUAAUACGUAGGGUGCGAGCGUUGUCCGGAAUUACUGGGCGUAAAGAGCUCGUAGGUGGUUUGUCGCGUCGUUCGUGAAAA